rnacentral:rRNA from 1 species
UACGUAGGGUGCGAGCGUUAAUCGGAAUUACUGGGCGUAAAGCGUGCGCAGGCGGUUCGUUAAGUCAGAUGUGAAAGCCCCGGGCUCAACCUGGGAACUGCAUUUGAAACUGGCGGGCUUGAGUGUGGCAGAGGGGGGUGGAAUUCCGCGUGUAGCAGUGAAAUGCGUAGAGAUGCGGAGGAACACCGAUGGCGAAGGCAAUCCCCUGGGCCUGCACUGACGCUGAGGCGCGAAAGCGUGGGGAGCAAACAGG